GGUCGGCUGGAAGGAGACGAACGCUGCGGCCAUCAGUUUAUUAUAAUUAUUGUUAUAUUCCACCUCUGCAGCCCGCUGUGGUGUCAGUCAAGUGUCCGAACUGUGCUUCUCCUCUCAGUGUGAGAAUCACCGGGCGGGGACAUGGCUGAGCCCGCAGAGAAGAGGUUAAAGAGCAGCCUGCCGACGUGCAGAGCGCACCGGAGCUCCGCGGGCAGCCGGGCCGGACACAACCUGCAGGCCGCCGUGGAGGAGGCUCUGUGCGGGGUGAGCAGCCUGCUGUGGGACGGAGCGUACCGGCUGCAGGCUCUGGCCAAAGUGUUUGAGCGGGACGACGUCGCGCUGCCCCGUGUCGCUUCUUUCUUCCACCAGGAGGCGCUGAAGCAUGAGGAGGAGGCCGAGGCCAUGCUGGGCUACCUGGCUGAGAGAGGCGGCAACUACUGCGGCAAAGACAUCCAGAAGCCGAGCUGCGAGGCCGUCUGCGCGGUGCUGCCGGCUCUGGACCUGCUGCUGCUGCAGCUGCAGGAGGAGGUCGGCGUCCUGGUGGAGCUGAGCCAGCUCGCCCGCAGCCACGGGGACCCGCACACCGCCAGCGUCGUGAAGAGCCACUUUCUGACGCCGCGGGUCGACCGCCUCAAAGUGCUGGGAGACCUGCUCACCUGCGCCCGCCGGGUGGGCUGCACCAACGGGCCCACGGGGGGGCUCGGGGAGUUCCUCCUGAACGAGCUGCAGGAGGAACUCACCAGAUGAUCCGUCCGUCAAACAAAGUCUCCAUUUAGAAGUUCUUCUUCUGUGUUUGAAAACAUUUGCUCCAACAUGGCGGCUGGAGUGGGAGGCCGCUGCAGAACAGUCGUACGGCAUCAGACCGUCGACUCUAAAGAACCUCUAAGUUAACUAUGAACACAAGAUGUGUCGGAGACUGAAGGUGCAAGAAAUAAAUGCUUAAAAACUAAAUUGUAGCGCCCCGGUAGCUCACCCGGCAGCGGCAGCUCACCCGGCAGCUCACCCGGCAGCUCACCCGGCAGCUCACCCGGCAGCUCACCCGGCAGCUCACCCGGCAGCUCACAGGCGGCCCAUGUACAAAGGCUGAGUCCUGCCACAGCGGCCCGUGGUUCGAGUCUGACCCGUGGACAUUUGCUGUAUGUCGUCCCCCUUCUCUCUCUCCCAUAUUUUUGAAGAUUUAUUUGAGGAAUUUAAACUUGUUUCAGUUAUUUCAUGAACAAUAAUAAUAUUUUAAUGUUCAGUAAGCAGCUGUAUAGAACUCUAGACAUUUAUUUUUUUAGUCGACUAAAUAAUUUGCAAAAUUGUAAACUGACACUUUCUAAGUAUUUCUAAGUAUUUCUAAGUAUUUAUACACAGUAUUUGUUUUCCUACGGUUGUACUGCGUCUUCUGUGCACAUAGAAAUGUCACUUUAGUUCCUAUCAUUUAUUCACCAUGUAUUCAGUGUUUUUAUCAUUUAUUCACUAUGUAUUCAGUGUUUUUAUCAUUUAUUCACCAUGUAUUCAGUGUUUUUAUCAUUUAUUCACCAUGUAUU